GAAAUGCGAUACGCAAUGCGAAUUGCAGAAUUCCGCGAGUCAUCAGAUUUUUGAACGCAAAUUGCGCCGCUAGGCUCUCCUGGUGGCAUGUUUGUUUCAGUGUGUUUGUUGACCUCACAUAACUCAAUGCGAUUGAAGUUUUUUUUUUUAUUAAGAAAUUUCUCUCGUUAAAAAUGAAUAUGCUUGUUUUGUCACAACAAAACAUCUAACGUAGCGGUCACUUCUUUAAGUGAUUGCGUUAGAAUUACUUGAGUGAUAAAUAUUUUAUAAGCAUAAAUAAAAAAAUAAAUAAUUUCUUCAAUCAGCACCUGAAAUCAAGCAAGAAAACCCGCUGAACUUAA
rnacentral:misc_RNA from 1 species